rnacentral:rRNA from 1 species
GACGUAGGGCGCGAGCGUUUGUCCGGAUUAUUGGGCGUAAAGAGCUCGUAGGCGGCUUGUCGCGUCGACUGUGAAAUCCCGCGGCUCAACUGCGGGUCUGCAGUCGAUACGGGCAGGCUAGAGUUCGGUAGGGGAGACUGGAAUUCCUGGUGUAGCGGUGAAAUGUGGCAGAUAUCAGGGAGGAACACCGGUGGGCCGAAAGG